CAGUAGCCACGGUAAUACGUAGGGUGCAAGCGUUAAUCGGAAUUACUGGGCGUAAAGCGUGCGCAGGCGGUUAUAUAAGACAGAUGUGAAAUCCCCGGGCUCAACCUGGGAACUGCAUUUGUGACUGUAUAGCUAGAGUACGGCAGAGGGGGAUGGAAUUCCGCGUGUAGCAGUGAAAUGCGUAGAUAUGCGGAGGAACACCGAUGGCGAAGGCAAUCCCCUGGGCCUGUACUGACGCUCAUGCACGAAAGCGUGGGGAGCAAACAGGAUUAGAUACCCGAGUAGUCCCUGUCUCUUAUAA
rnacentral:rRNA from 1 species